rnacentral:rRNA from 1 species
GGAAGGGGCAGCAGCUUUACCAUGCAGUCGACGGCAGCACGGGAGCUUGCUCCUGGUGGCGAGUGGCGAACGGGUGAGUAAUGCAUCGGAAUGUACCGUGUAAUGGGGGAUAGCUCGGCGAAAGCCGGAUUAAUACCGCAUACGCCCUGAGGGGGAAAGCGGGGGAUCGAAAGACCUCGCGUUAUACGAGCAGCCGAUGUCUGAUUAGCUAGUUGGUGAGGUAAGAGCUCACCAAGGCGACGAUCAGUAGCGGGUCUGAGAGGAUGAUCCGCCACACUGGGACUGAGACACGGCCCAGACUCCUACGGGAGGCAGCAGUGGGGAAUUUUGGACAAUGGGCGCAAGCCUGAUCCAGCCAUGCCGCGUGUCUGAAGAAGGCCUUCGGGUUGUAAAGGACUUUUGUUCGGGAGGAAAUCCCGCUGGUUAAUACCUGGCGGGGAUGACAGUACCGGAAGAAUAAGCACCGGCUAACUACGUGCCAGCAGCCGCGGUAAUACGUAGGGUGCAAGCGUUAAUCGGAAUUACUGGGCGUAAAGCGUGCGCAGGCGGUUGUGCAAGUCUGAUGUGAAAGCCCCGGGCUCAACCUGGGAACGGCAUUGGAGACUGCACGACUAGAGUGCGUCAGAGGGGGGUAGAAUUCCGCGUGUAGCAGUGAAAUGCGUAGAGAUGCGGAGGAAUACCGAUGGCGAAGGCAGCCCCCUGGGAUGACACUGACGCUCAUGCACGAAAGCGUGGGGAGCACACAGGAUUAGAUACCCUGGUAGUCCACGCCCUAAACGAUGUCAACUAGCUGUUGGGGGUUUGAAUCCUUGGUAGCGUAGCUACGCGUGAAGUUGACCGCCUGGGGAGUACGGCCGCAAGGUUAAAACUCAAGGAAUUGACGGGGACCCGCACAAGCGGUGGAUGAUGUGGAUUAAUUCGAUGCAACGCGAAAACCUUACCUGCUCUUGACAUGUACGGAACUUGGUAGAGAUAUCUUGGUGCCCGAAAGGGAGCCGUAACCAAGGUGCUGCAUGGCUGUCGUCAGCUCGUGGUCGUG